rnacentral:antisense_RNA from 1 species
CUUGACCGAGCCGAGCAGCAGCGGCUUGUCGGCGUCGCGGCCCUGCCCGUAGGUGGCCAGCAGUGCCUGGGCCUC